UACGUAGGGGGCGAGCGUUGUCCGGAUUCAUUGGGCGUAAAGAGCUCGUAGGCGGUUCAGUAAGUCGGGUGUGAAAGCUCCGAGCUCAACUCGGAGAGGCCACCCGAUACUGCUGUGACUUGAGUCCAGUAGAGGAGCGUGGAACUCCUGGUGUAGCGGUGAAAUGCGCAGAUAUCAGGAAGAACACCGGUAGCGAAGGCGGCGCUCUGGGCUGGAACUGACGAUGAGGAGCGAAAGCGUGGGUAGCAAACAGG
rnacentral:rRNA from 1 species